rnacentral:rRNA from 1 species
GUCUACGGCCAUGCCACCCUGAACGUGCCUGAUCCCAUCUGAUCUCAGAAGCUAAGCGACGUCGGGCCUGGUUAGUACUUGGAUGGGAGACCAACUAGGAAGACCAGGCUCUGUAGGCG